UACGUAGGUGGCGAGCGUUAUCCGGAUUUAUUGGGCGUAAAGCGAGCGCAGGUGGUUUAUUAAGUCUGGUGUAAAAGGCAGUGGCUCAACCAUUGUAUGCAUUGGAAACUGGUAGACUUGAGUGCAGGAGAGGAGAGUGGAAUUCCAUGUAUAGCGGUGAAAUGCGUAGAUAUAUGGAGGAACACCGGUGGCGAAAGCGGCUCUCUGGCCUGUAACUGACACUGAGGCUCGAAAGCGUGGGGAGCAAACAGG
rnacentral:rRNA from 1 species